UGGCUCAGGAUGAACGCUGGCGGCGUGCUUAACACAUGCAAGUCGAACGAAGCACCCUCAUCCGUGGAAGGGAGUAGCUUGCUACGAACGGACACACCCGAGGGUGACUGAGUGGCGGACGGGUGAGUAACGCGUGGGCAACCUGCCCCAUAGAGGGGGACAACAGUUAGAAAUGACUGCUAAUACCGCAUAGUAAGAUAGAUCCGCAUGCUUCUAUCUUGAAAGCUUUUGCGCUAUGGGAUGGGCCCGCGUUUGAUUAGCUAGUUGGUGAGGUAACGGCCCACCAAGGCGACGAUCAAUAGCCGGCUUGAGAGAGUGAACGGCCACAUUGGGACUGAGACACGGCCCAAACUCCUACGGGAGGCAGCAGUGGGGAAUA
rnacentral:rRNA from 1 species